UUCGUCUUUUAUUUUUUUAAA
rnacentral:piRNA from 1 species